GAUAAAAUGGCUGAGGUCAGGCGAUAAAUUGUAAAUUUAUUUACGAAAUUACUUUCUUUUAUCA
rnacentral:tRNA from 1 species